UACGGGGGGGGUAAGCGUUGUUCGGAAUUACUGGGCGUAAAGGGCUCGUAGGCGGCCAACUAAGUCAUACGUGAAAUCCCCCGGCUUAACCUGGGAACUGCGUCUGAUACUGGGAGGCUUGAGUAUGGGAGAGGGAUGUAGAAUUCCAGGUGUAGCGGUGAAAUGCGUAGAGAUGGGGGAGAACACUCGUGGCGAAGGCGGCCAGCUAGACCAGUUCUGACACUGAGGCGCGACAGCGUGGGGAGCAAACAGG
rnacentral:rRNA from 1 species